UUCCAGUCUUAUGGAUUAAUCAACUUAUUCAUUCAUUUAUCCAUUCUUUCAUUCUUUUUAUUUUAUUUUUUAUUUUUAUGGGUACACAGUAGGUGUAUAUAUUUAUGGAACAUGAGAUGUUUUCAUACAGGCAUACAAUGCAUAAUAAUCACAUCAUGGAAGAUGGGGUAUUCAUCCCCUCAAGCAUUUUUGCUUUGUGUUACAAAAAAUUCAACUAUGCUCAUUUAGUUAUUUUUAAACGUAGCAUUAAAUUAUUAUUGACUAUAGUCACCCUGUUGUGCUAUCAAAUACUAGAUCUUAUUCAUUUAUUCUAACUAUUUCUUGGUACCAGUUAACCACCCCCACUUCUCCCUCAACCCCCCACUACCUUUCGCAUCCUCUGGUAAUGACCUGUCUACUCUCUUACUCUCUAUCUCCAUGGGUUCAAUUGUUUUGAUUUUUCGAUCCCACAAGUAAGUGGAAACGUGAUGUUUGUCUUUCUGUACCUGGCUUAUUUCACUUAACAUAAUGACAUCCAAUUACAUCCAUGUGGUUGCAAAUGACUGAAUCUUGUUCUUUUUAUGGCUGAAUUGUAUUUCAUUGUGUAUAAGUACCACAUUUUCUUUACCAUUCAUCUGUUGAAGGACAUGCAGUUUGCUUCCACAUCAUAGCUGUUGUAAACAGAGCUGCAACAGCUAAUUUCCUUUCUUUGGGGUAUAUACCCUGCAGUGGGAUGGCUGGCUCAUAUGGUAGCUCUAUUUUUAGGUUUUCUGACAAACCUCCAAACUGUUCUCCGUAGUGCUUGUAUUAAUUUAUUAAUUUACAUUACCACCAACAGUGUACGAGGGUUCUCUUUUGCUUGUGGCUGAGUUGACACUCGAACUACAAGACCCAGUCCUUCUCACUCUUCCCUCCCCUUUCCAAAGGCAGAGGAGCCUCACCCAGUGGAUAUCACUACCUCAGACCCCUGGGGACUGCUACUAGACUACCUCUGAUGUUCCCUUAAGGCUUAAAGGCUCUUCAGUCAGCUUGUAGUGAAUAUUACCUGGCUAGGACUCACCCUUCAGGGGAGUGAGCUCCUCUCUGGCAAUGGGAAGUACCAGAAAUGUCAUCCACAAGUCAAGUCCUGCAACUGGGGUCCCUAAGAGCCCACUUGGUACUCUAUUCCAUUGUGGCUGAGCUGAUACUUAAAGUGAAAAGCAAAGUUUCCUUUACUUUUCUGUUCACUUUUCUCAAGCAGGAGUCUCACCCUAAUCAGCUACAACAAUUGGAAAUGUGCCGAGUCUCUCCUAAGUCCAGCCAGUCUCAGCAUCUCACCUAAGACCUUUGAUGUAGUACCUGGAUAUCCCUGUUGGUUAUUCACAGCUCAGGGUCCCUUCAGGCAGCAAGUGAUGAAUCCUUCCAGGAAUGAGUCCUUCUCUUCAAGGCAAUGAAUUCCCUUCUUGCCUAGGGUGUGUCCAGAAAUGUCCAGGAGCUAGGGCCUGAAAUGAGGGUCUCACAACUCUGACCGGUGCUCUAUUCUGCUGUGGCUGAGCUGGUAUCCAAGAUGCAAGACAAAGUCUUCCCCACUAUUCCAUCUCCUCUCCUCAAGCAGAAGGAAGGAGUCUCUUUUACAGCCAGGAUUUUUGCAGCCUGGGCUUCGGGGAUGGGUGAGGCCAGCACUCCCUUAGCUGCCCCAGCUGGUGUCGCAGUAGGUCGCAUGCAACCACAGUCUACUGUCUCUUGGUCCAGUUCAGCCUAUGACUCACCUUGGUGUUGCAGUCCUUGAGGCCUAAAUUGCGUUUCAAAUUUAUUUGAAGCCCCAAAGCACUUUUGCCCACAGUGGUGAGGCUUGUAGGAACUCAAGUUCCAACCGCUGGGAUCAGCAAUUCCCCUCUGGCUCCGGCUGGUUUAAAUGCUGUCUUUGCGGGAGGGUGCCAGCUGAGUUUGGUCCGGCUCUGCUUUCAGCUAUAACAAGGGCAGCACUGAGUUCAAUGCCUCACAGUUGCUGGCUCUCCCUCUCCCCAGGGUGCAGAAAAGCUCUCUGCACCACAUUGCCACUGCCAAGGAAGGGGGGAGGGAUGGCAUAGGCAAUUCAAGUCUGUUUUUUCUACUUCUUCGGUGCCUCUUUCAGCGAUAUGAAUUUAAAACCAGGUACUAUGAGUGCUCACCUGAUUUUUGGUUCUCAUGAAAGUGUUUUGUUGUGUGUGGAUAUUUGUUAAAUUGGUGUCCUUGCGGAGGUAGGUUGGGGGAUGAUCGGUGGGGCCUUCUAUUUCUUCACCUUGCUCCAACCCCCUUUCAUUCUUUUAUUAAAAGUAUUAAGUGCUCAGCAGGUAAGAUGUAAGCAUUAAUCUAGGCACUAUAGAAACAGUUAUAAACAAUAUGAAGUACUUCCCACACUACUACCACUCCAUCUCAUGGAGUUUACGUUCUAAUAAAGAAGAAAGAUAAGUAGAUAGACAAAUUAAUGUGUUAGUAGAGUUCGGUUUUAUGAAGAAAAUAACAGCACGGCUAGAAAGUGAGUGAGGUGAUACUAUAGAAAAUGUGGCCAGCUGUGGUCUUUCUAAGAAGGCAAGACUUUAACAAAGACUUGGAAGACAUAAAGGAAUAAGCCACAAAAUAUCUCAGAGAAGGGUGUUCUGGCUACAAGGAGUGACAAAUGCAAAGGUCCUGAAACAAGAACAUGAAGGAUGUGUUAGAUUUUUUUAAAAGGACAAUAUUUUAUGAUUUGAGUAAUAUUUUACCUAUAGAAUCUUAAAUUUUUAACACAGGAUUGAUGCACUACACACCAGAAUAUACUAACAGAGCACCUGCUCUGCCAAUGCCAGGCUGAUUGCUCUGGAGACACAGACUGUUUCAAGAAACUGAGUGAGUAGGCUCUGGAAAUUGGAAGUGAUCUUAGUAUUUAAGUUCAGUCACUCAACUACAAUCUCUGAAACUGGGGGAAAUAUGUUCUGUCUGCAUCACGUAAUCAAAGUUUAAUUUUUUUAAGGAACAAUAGGAAUGUCACUUGCAAAACAGAAAUGGAGGUUUAUCUUUCAGAGACUAAAAUAUUUAAGUAGUCAUAAAUCAACUGCUUAUUUCUCUACUUAGUGAUUUACUGCCUUAUCAAAGGCAUCUCCUUGUUAGCUUUUUAUGAGGAUUAUCGUCUAAAGCCAGCUUCCAAAAUUAGAGGCUAAUAAAUGAUUAGUUACAUGUCUAGAUGUGCCACAGCUGAUGUAGGAGUAAUAAAAAAUCCUCCCCCAUUCCCCCAUAAUUCAGCGGGUGAUUAGUCUGUGUCCACUGGCACAAUCUUGUAAAGUUCUGGAAAUCAUUCUGUUAAUACGUUCAAUACAGACAGCUUGGGGAAAAGCCUCUUCAAAGUGGCUUUUAAGAAAUUUAGUAAUCUAAUUUGGCUGUUAAUACUAAUCAUAUUUUGAAGUCUCAAACGUCUGCCUCCUUCUGUCAUCUGUUUGUAGACAGAGGCAGAUAUUGAGGUUUUGAUAUUUAUUUAUAAUUUUGAAAAUCAUGGUUUUCUCUAGUGUGCCGUUAGAUUUCACCCAUCUGGAUUCAGAUUCCACUAAUUUUGGAAGUCCACAUAAUGCUGACAGUAUCAUUAAAAAAAGUGAUGUCUUUAAGGUAAAUCUUUUUUUCUGGAAAAUUUUUAAGUACUUUAUGCAAAACUAUUAGCAAGGGGUGGAGAUAUUUUAUAUUGCAUUACAGAGCAAAAAUGUUUAUGUACCUCAGAAUUAUCCUUUCCAGCCCACUUUAGACAUGUUGGUAUGUCCUGUGUUGGAAGACAUUUAGAAAAUAAGUAGGUUAGAGAGACAGACAGACAGACAGACAGACAGACAGAAACUGUUGAACACUCAUAGCAUGAAUACUAUAGAUCACUAGGACCUCAGGCCUCUUUCUCAAGUUUGCAAGUCUAGAAAUUUCAUAUGUUCAAUUUUCUCAGGCUUGAUCAGCUUCCUGGAACCUGACUCAUUCUAACAAUCUCACACAAGAAUAUUUACAGAAAGUUUACAUUUGCAGCCACUUAAAAAAUUCAUUAGAAGAAAUCUCUCAGAGCAAGAUCUAAGGCCAAUCACCUUCCUUCUCAUGGGAGGAAAUAUUCAGUUGUAAUGUUUAGUUGGUAGAGAGAGAAUUCAAACCAGAGAAGUUGGUAUUCUGUAGCAGAUGUCACUAUUGAUAUUAGAAAGAAUGGAAAACAGAGCUGCUGCUAAAGUAAGCAAGCUGACAGCUGAGGCAGAAGUGUAUCAACAGCAGUAUGUUCACGGGAUCACCACAUUGACGAUUCAGCCCAGUUAUCUGGCAGUGCAUAAACUCAGUGCUGUUGGUACAAUCACAGAAGAUCAACCAGAGAUAUUUAUCAAAUGCUGAUUAUAUGACAAGACCUACACUGGAUCCUUGGGAUACAACCAUAAGAUAAUUGUGACAGUCCCAAUCCUUACAAAGGUACCAUCUUAGUCUCUUUAUUCCUAUUUUUUAGAUCCUGUGAUGAUUGCAUACUUUCUGCCAAUGCAUGUUCUUUUUCCAUAACUGCUUAGACUACCACUUUUCUUAGUUUUGUUCUUGUUCUAAAUAUAUGUUUUAGAUCAAUCCCUCUCAAAUGAUUAGGUUUUCCCCUAAUUUAUCACAGAAUGACACUUUUGUAAAAUACCAAAAACAAUUACUAGAAAAAUAUAUUGUGCAAUUGGAUAUGAAAGCAAUAAGCUAUAAGCUAUAAAAGCUAUAAAAGUUUCUAAAUGGUUACUCACGAGUUCUAUAUUUAUUUUUUUCCAGACAGGCAAAAAGUUCAUAGACCAUCAUUUGUCUAUGGACCACACUUUGAACACAACUGCUCUGGACAAGCAGGUAGAUCUUAAACAAACUAUAUUUUUUGUUUUCUUUUAUGAAACCAUCUGCCUCUUAAUCACUAAAAUUGUGAAGUUUUACACAGUGGAUAAUUUCUUCAGGGUGGUGUCCCAUUGCCCAUUCAGCUCACUACAUGUAUUAUUUAGUUAAUAUUUUUAAAUCAAUUAAUAUUUCAUAUGAAUACAUUUUUAAUAUCUACUCCAUAUAAAUGGAAACCAAUUUCACUUGCCAGAAAUAAAACAUAAUAAAAUGUAACUCUAAAAAGGAGUGUUAUGAAGGGAGAUGUUGCCUGCCCUGAGAAGAGCUAACAUUUCACUAACACCACACUGAAACUUCCUGCUUGACAUACUCAGAAAACUGAAAGGGAAUUAAAAAGAGAGAAUUUUCUCAUUAUGUGUUUUAAUGCCAUUUAAUGCCUAAUUCAUGAUCCACCUAACAUCAUUUCAAGGACCAAACAGUAGUCACUCUUUAUUUUUUAAAAAUAAUUUAACUCUCCCAUUUUGAAGAUUAACUUGAAAUUGUCCUCUAUGAAUACGUCUGUUGACAGUCACAAAUCAGUCAGUCAUAUCAUAUGGAUAACUAUAAUUGAACAGGGGUGUUAAAUACCACCAUUUCUUUUCUUAAAUCUCUGUCUUAUGGACUACUGAUGCUGUAGACCACAAACUCGCUUCAGUUUCUGAAAGUAGUAUGUUCGCCAGAUCUAAAUGGUCUCUAUGGAAUUUUUUUUGAGCCCUAGUACAGCGUCUGGCAUAUACUAAAUACCCAACAAACUUGUAUUUCUUCCUUCUUCCAUUAACAAUCAGCUCCUUUUCCUGAUGAGAUAGGAAAAUAUGUAUUAAUUACUGGAAUUCCCUCUUAGGCUCUCUUGUUGUUACAAAGAAAAAGACUGUCAAUUUUCACCCACUUCUUUUUUUUACCAUUACAAAUAUUUAAUCAUAACCCACAAUUACAGUAUUAGUUAUAUUACCUAACAGGCCUCAAAAGGUUUGGCUUGGUCUUUGUGUUUUCAUAAAUGUCCACAACUCUAUCCAGCUUACUGCAUUGAUUUGACAUUAGGGAGCAGACUCCAAGGACAGAAGAAGACUCAUUUAGCCAGUUGUUUAUUCCCCAUGAAUUGCCUCAGCUAAACACCAGACCAGAGCUUCUGUGUGCACUAGGUCAAGCCAUGAAUAUGCACAGGUCAAAUAAUUAAACUUGUAUAAUAUUCCCAGAGAUGUGAACAUGAGAGGAAUAUUUAUCACAAUGGAAAGAUCCUGCCGCAGAUAUUUCUUACCUAAUGUUGAACUUUUAUCAAAGAAUUUUUUUUUCAACUAGCUGUUUCAAAAAAAAAAAAAAAGGCUAAACAUACAGUGUCUCCUCUCCCCCUUCAGGAUACAAACCACAGAAUUCCGAUGACUCACCCAAAAAUAGCUUAUGAAUAUGCCACAGGCGGAAGGGCAUGCUGUUUAGUUCUUUAAAACUUCCUGCCAAACUGAAGAAACUGAACAUACACAGAUAUUUGGGGACUAACUCUGAGGAAUAAUGAGAAUUUAAUCCCUUGUAGUCUUCAGGGUUAGCAACAGCUUGCCUGACAUGUCCGGUUACAUCCUGUUUGCUACACAUGUGACUCCUCAAAAAAAUAAUAAUAUAAUAUUAAUAGCACAAUGUUUCAUUGUUAAGAUUGCUGUCACUGUGCUAAUGGCUCCCCAGUAUUUGCAGCCAUAAGUAGACUAAGUCACUUCUUGGAUGAAUUCUAAAUGAAAGGUUUUAUGAAACAAACAUAUUGCCAUUAUGACUCUAAAAUAAAAAGCCAGGAUUCAAUGUAAAGAAUUUGACGGCAGCAUAAGCCCCUAAAAAGGAAAGACAGUAAAGCAUAGUGAUUGAAAUCUUGGCGGUGAUUCCCAGUUCUUACACCGAUUAUGUCACCUUUAGCAGUUACUUGAACUCUCUAAGUUCUAAUUUUCCCAUAUGUAACAUAAGGAUGAUAAUAAUUCUAUCUAUGUCUAGGGUUCUUGUGAGGACUAAAUAAAGGCAUGUAAGCAUACAAGGAAUACUGCUCAGAAAAUAAAUUAUCCCAUGCAUUCUCCUUCUCAUAAAUGAAUCUGAAAACCAAAACCAUUAGGUGACCUAAGAAAGAUCACACACCUCAUCAGUGCAGUGCCAAGACGGGUCAGUAUAAUGCUGUGGUUAAAAACAUGGGCUCUGGAACAAGUCCAUCCCGAGUUUAAAUCUCAGUUUUUCUACUUGCUAGCUGUAUAAACUUGGGCAAGUCACUUAACUUUUCUGUCUCUCAAUUUUCUCAUCUACAAAAGUCAAAUAAUAAUAGUACUUCUCUCACCAGGUUAUUAUGACAACUUAAAAACGUAAUACAUGCAACUGCCACAUAACAAUCAAAAAAAUACGAUCGAUUACACUAACAUUGGGAAUAUCUGGUUCUUCCAAAAGCAAAGGUUAAUGUAAAAUAUAUGUCAACAAUGCCAGACUUUUUAAACUUUAUCUAUAAAAACAGCCCUCACUUAAAAAUAAACAACUUAAAAAUUGGAUAUAGUUUAAUAGUGACCAGAAUAUUUGCAGAUGUCUUCUCAGAUGAAGGUACACGUCUUCAAUCAUGGCUAUGUGUCGUAUUUUUCUUUUCCU
rnacentral:lncRNA from 10 species